rnacentral:rRNA from 1 species
AGUGAACGCUGGCGGUAGGCCUAACACAUGCAAGUCGAACGGCAGCACAGUAAGAGCUUGCUCUUACGGGUGGCGAGUGGCGGACGGGUGAGGAAUACAUCGGAAUCUACUUUUUCGUGGGGGAUAACGUAGGGAAACUUACGCUAAUACCGCAUACGACCUACGGGUGAAAGCAGGGGAUCUUCGGACCUUGCGCGAUUGAAUGAGCCGAUGUCGGAUUAGCUUGUUGGCGGGGUUAAGGCCCACCAAGGCGACGAUCCGUAGCUGGUCUGAGAGGAUGAUCAGCCACACUGGAACUGAGACACGGUCCAGACUCCUACGGGAGGCAGCAGUGGGGAAUAUUGGACAAUGGGCGCAAGCCUGAUCCAGCCAUACCGCGUGGGUGAAGAAGGCCUUCGGGUUGUAAAGCCCUUUUGUUGGGAAAGAAAAGCAGCAGGUUAAUACCCCGCUGUUCUGACGGUACCCAAAGAAUAAGCACCGGCUAACUUCGUG